rfam:Staphylococcus haemolyticus JCSC1435 DNA, complete genome.
AUAGAGAAAUGUAAAAACACAAUUGGGUUGGUAGUCCCAAUGCAAAUGUAAUCAUUUGUCAGUAACCUUCCUCCUCAGGUCGUCCCUCAUUUCAAGUUAUAUA